rnacentral:rRNA from 1 species
UGGGGAAUUUUGGACAAUGGGCGAAAGCCUGAUCCAGCAAUGCCGCGUGUGUGAAGAAGGCCUUCGGGUUGUAAAGCACUUUUGUCCGGAAAGAAAUCCUUGGCUCUAAUACAGUCGGGGGAUGACGGUACCGGAAGAAUAAGCACCGGCUAACUACGUGCCAGCAGCCGCGGUAAUACGUAGGGUGCAAGCGUUAAUCGGAAUUACUGGGCGUAAAGCGUGCGCAGGCGGUUUGCUAAGACCGAUGUGAAAUCCCCGGGCUCAACCUGGGAACUGCAUUGGUGGCUGGCAGGCUAGAGUAUGGCAGAGGGGGGUAGAAUUCCACGUGUAGCAGUGAAAUGCGUAGAGAUGUGGAGGAAUACCGAUGGCGAAGGCAGCCCCCUGGGCCAAUACUGACGCUCAUGCACGAAAGCGUGGGGAGCAAACAGGAUUAGAUACCCUGGUAGUCCACGCCCUAAACGAUGUCAACUAGUUGUGGGAUUCAUUUCCUAGUACGUAGCUAACGCGUGAAGUUGACCGCCUGGGAGUACGGUCGCAAGAUU